rnacentral:rRNA from 1 species
UACGGAGGAUGCGAGCAUUAUCCGGAUUUAUUGGGUUUAAAGGGUGCGUAGGCGGAUCGUUGAGUCAGUGGUCAAAUUGAGGGGCUCAACCCCUUCCCGCCAUUGAAACUGGCGAUCUUGAGUGGAAGAGAAGUAUGCGGAAUGCGUGGUGUAGCGGUGAAAUGCAUAGAUAUCACGCAGAACCCCGAUUGCGAAGGCAGCAUGCCGGCUUCCUACUGACGCUGAAGCACGAAAGCGUGGGGAUCGAACAGG